UACGGAAGCAGCAGUGGGGAAUAUUGCACAAUGGGCGCAAGCCUGAUGCAGCCAUGCCGCGUGUAUGAAGAAGGCCUUCGGGUUGUAAAGUACUUUCAGUCGUGAGGAAGGUGUUAAGGUUAAUAACCUUAGCAAUUGACGUUAGCGACAGAAGAAGCACCGGCUAACUCCGUGCCAGCAGCCGCGGUAAUACGGAGGGUGCGAGCGUUAAUCGGAAUUACUGGGCGUAAAGGGCACGCAGGCGGUUAAUUAAGUUGGAUGUGAAAUCCCCGGGCUUAACCUGGGAAUGGCAUUCAAGACUGGUUAGCUAGAGUCUUGUAGAGGGGGUAGAAUUCCAUGUGUAGCGGUGAAAUGCGUAGAGAUGUGGAGGAAUACCGGUGGCGAAGGCGGCCCCUGGGACAAAGACUGACGCUCAUGUGCGAAAGCGUGGGGAGCAAACAGGGAUUAGAUACC
rnacentral:rRNA from 1 species